AGCACAGGUCAUGUCAAACUAACUUGAUCGCGUUCUACGAAGAAGUAAGUAGAAGUAUAGAUCAGGGUGUUGCAGUGGAUGUGGUCUAUUUGGAUUUUGCCAAGGCAUUUGAUACAGUUCCACACAAUAGAUUAGUGUUCAAACUCAAGUAAAUCAGUCUAGAUGAAAAUGCUUGUUCUUGGAUAGAACAUUGGCUUAAAAACAG